UUACCCUGCACGUUUCCAGCCAUUAUUGCCUGCCUGUCUGCCUGUGUUCUGACCUCCGACCCGUUUUCUGACCUGGAAUACCUGAUUCUGCCUGCCCCCUGUCUGAGGAUUCAGUGGACCUCAGUAGGGAUCUUAGGCCUGACUAACUGUUUUUCCCCUCAGCCUUUUGCCACCAACCUUGUCUCAACCCGUCACACAACACCACAGCCUCAGUGGACCUCUUACCACCCUCCCGGUACAGCGAUCUCCCUGCGUCCUCCAUCUCCUCGGCCGGCUAGUGGGCGACGUGACCAGACCCGGAUUUCCUGAGCAUUAUUCAGUCCCUUACAAUAAAUCUAUUUUCUUACCAA